rnacentral:rRNA from 1 species
GACGGAGGCCCCGAGCGUUGUUCGGAAUCACUGGGCUUAAAGCGCGUGUAGGCGGAGCGGUAAGUACCUUGUGAAAUUCCUGGCUUCAACCUGGGAACUGCUUGGUAUACUGCCGUUCUUGAGGCAGGUAGGGGUCGCUGGAACGUUAGGUGGAGCGGUGAAAUGCGUAGAUAUCUAACGGAACGCCGGUGGCGAAAGCGGGCGACUGGGCCUGUCCUGACGCUGAGACGCGAAAGCGUAGGGAGCAAAC